CAAGGUAUAAAUUAUCUUUCUUGGAAUGCCUGAGAAAACAUCUCUGAACUUCAGGAGAUUUUCAUUAUUUCUUGGAUCCUUCUUUGAGCUCACUGAUGUCUCCCUGUGUCUGUAACGCCAAUACCCUCGUGUCUCCAGAGACUGAGGCCCCCUUUGCCAGAGAUCUGCUGUCCAAACCAGCAUGCUGUGUUAUGCCAAUCCAGUGCCUUGUCAGCAUGGCAGACAGCUGUAGUUAG
rnacentral:lncRNA from 1 species